GUAGAUAUAGUUUUAACCAAAAUAUCAGAUUGUGAUUCUAAAGACAGGGGUUAAAAUCCCCUUAUCCACC
rnacentral:tRNA from 1 species